CCGACGGUGAGAGGUGAAAGCUGGGGGAGCAAACCGGAUUAGAUACCCGGGUAGUCCCAGCCGUAAACGAUGUGCGUUAGGUGUAUCGGUGACCACGAGUCACCGAGGUGCCGAAGAGAAAUCGUGAAACGUACCGCCUGGGAAGUACGGUCGCAAGGCUGAAACUUAAAGGAAUUGGCGGGGGAGCACCACAACAGGUGGAGCCUGCGGUUUAAUCGGACUCAACGCCGGGAAACUCACCAGAUAAGACAGCUGAAUGAUAGUCGGGCUGAAGACUCUACUUGACUAGCUGAGAGGAGGUGCAUGGCCGUCGUCAGUUCGUACUGCGAAGCAUCCUGUUAAGUC
rnacentral:rRNA from 1 species